ACAGCUUCUAGCAAGAGCACUGAAAUUGGGAUUCAUAUUCACCAGAAUCAUACUGAGUUUUGAAAUUCCCAAAAUGGCCUGAGAGUAGUUACUUAAAUAAAGAAAUCCUCCUAGGGGAGAGAAGAAAGCCAAGGACACCUGGGAUAUCAGACAAAGUCCCCAGAGGAUAGCCAUCUUGAUCUCAGCAGCGUCUUGGCCAGAGAGCUGUGGAAGCCGAGAAACCUUCAACUAAUGGAAUGAAUACUACCUCCACUUUAUCUUCAUAGACUAAGACAAAAGGUCAAAUGUAGUUUUAAUACAUAGAGCUCAAGGUUACAAUUUGCCUCCCAUCAUUUUUUGUUGUUGUUUUUUCUGAACUUUUUGGU
rnacentral:lncRNA from 1 species